rnacentral:rRNA from 1 species
GUGAGUAAUGUCUGGGAAACUGCCUGAUGGAGGGGGAUAACUACUGGAAACGGUAGCUAAUACCGCAUAACGUCGCAAGACCAAAGAGGGGGACCCUCGGGCCUCUUGCCAUCGGAUGUGCCCAGAUGGGCAUUAGCUUGUUGCUGGGGUAACGGCUCACCAAGGCGACGAUCCCUAGCUGGUCUGAGAGGAUGACCAGCCACACUGGAACUGAGACACGGUCCAGACUCGUACGGGAGGCAGCAAUGGGGAAUAUUGCACAAUGGGCGCAAGCCUGAUGCAGCCAUGCCGCGUGUAUGAAGAAGGCCUUCGGAUUGUAAAGUACUUUCAGCGGGGAGGAAGGGAGUAAAGUUAAUACCUUUGCUCAUUGACGUUACCCGCAGAAGAAGCACCGGCUAACUCCGUGCCAGCAGCCGCGGUAAUACGGAGGGUGCAAGCGUUAAUCGGAAUUACUGGGCGUAAAGCGCACGCAGUCGGUUUGUUAAGUCAGAUGUGAAAUCCCCGGGCUCAACCUGGGAACUGCAUCUGAUACUGGCAAGCUUGAGUCUCGUAGAGGGGGGUA